UUGCACGCUGGCGGCAUGCCUUACCCAUGCAAGUCGAACGGCAGCACGGGUGCUUGCCCCUGGUGGCGAGUGGCGAACGGGUGAGUAAUACAUCGGAACAUGUCCUGUAGUGGGGGAUAGCCCGGCUAAAGCCGGAUUAAUACCGCAUACGAUCUACGGAUGAAAGCGGGGGACCUUCGGGCCUCGCGCUAUAGGGUUGGCCGAUGGCUGAUUAGCUAGUUGGUGGGGUAAAGGCCUACCAAGGCGACGAUCAGUAGCUGGUCUGAGAGGACGACCAGCCACACUGGGACUGAGACACGGCCCAGACUCCUACGGGAGGCAGCAGUGGGGAAUUUUGGACAAUGGGCGAAAGCCUGAUCCAGCAAUGCCGCGUGUGUGAAGAAGGCCUUCGGGUUGUAAAGCACUUUUGUCCGGAAAGAAAUCCUUGGCCCUAAUACGGUCGGGGGAUGACGGUACCGGAAGAAUAAGCACCGGCUAACUACGUG
rnacentral:rRNA from 1 species